GUGAAUCAUCGAAUCUUUGAACGCAAAUUGCGCUUCCUUGCAUCCCAGGAAGUAUGCCUGUGUGAGGGUCAGUAUUAACAAAAAAUCGGUUGGGUUGCAAAUUGGUACGUUUCCGGAGUUUGGGCUAUCUUAACUUGUUUGGUUAAUGGGCUUAAAAUUGACCUUAUUUGCGCAUUUUUAGACGUACAUAAAUUUUUUUUUUUUUUGUCUUUUCUUAUUUCCAAAAUUUUAUUAGAUACG
rnacentral:misc_RNA from 1 species